ACGGAACCGAAGUCGUUCGAAAUAGGCCUUGAAGCCUUUUAGCGGACAGAUAGGAGCCGAUGACUCCGUGCCCUCAUCGUUUACUGCAUCCCAGCGCCCGAGCGAGAAUUCAUGGACCACGAAAGCAACACCAACCGUGCAAUACGUGGGACACGAAUCCCGUUUCGAGUUUCCCCCACAACCGCACCGAAAAACGGGCAGCCUUAGGCGAACGGCUAGAGAUUGACAAUCGAAUUCCAUCGAGCAGGUACAAAACACAGGAAACCAACACGGCCAAUGAAAAUUGUGCCAACAAUGAAGAGGAUAGCAUGGUAGGACGUCGCUGCACGAGGCAGGGAUCCAA
rnacentral:misc_RNA from 1 species